GGUCACAAGCUGAGUUUUAUGAUUGCUUUACGGCUCAUAACAGUCCUUUCUCUAGGGGCUUUUUCUGAUUCGUGAGGGCUGUUUGGAUUGGGGGAACGGUCAGAUUAAGCAAUAGAAGAGAUAUCAGUAGCUUCCCCUCUGGAGGCCCACUGUGCCGCAGCCAUCCACCGGCUUCCUGGGCUGUGCCAUCAGGCAGGUGGAGUAGGUCAGCUCCCAGCAGGAAUAUAUACAUCUCACAGGAAAUUACACAUGAAGGAGAAAUGCCAAUAUGACAUUUAACAUACUGUGGGAAUCCUAACAAGAAAGUCUAUUCAAGCUACUAGAUGUGACACUGAAGUGGAAGGAACCAGGAGAGUCAAAGGAAGGCCUCCUGCUUCCCCAACUGUUCUAUGAGGACAGCUGCCCGCUGCUUCACCCCAGAAUUGCAAUCCAAGGAAACAAGAAUGAGGAACAAAGGAAAUGACAAGAAAAGAAGGAGAACCAACCGGAGACCACCAGGGAUGACUGAUCCUAAUAAGCUGGCAUCUUCUUUUUAGAAGUUAUCACAUGAGCUGUAUCUCAGAACAGUCCACAGUGAUGGCAAAUACAUCCAUCAGCCCCUAUUUCAUACUGGUCAAAGUUUCUGCCCAUGGAGAGUAAUUCUCCCCAUACUUCUGGGUUUAAAACUUGGCAUUCAAAGUAGGGUUCCAAGGUAUCCCAAGCCUUUAACACUGACAAAGACUCUCUCCUUAACCAAACCCCAGUCAGGCUCCACAAUCCCUUUCCAACUAAGCCUCACUCUUGUAUCUUGACCUCAAGAACAAGAAUCCUUCUAAAUCAGUUUAGGGGAAAUUUCCCACUCCCAAUAUCUGAUUGCCCUUCAUAACUCAUCAAAUCCUCAUUCCGGUCAAGUCAGUUUAGCCAGAAAUCCCCCUCUUGACCCUGAGUUUCCCACUGAGCAUUUCCAUCCACUGCUCCUGACCCUGUCCCAUGGCCAUGAAUCCCCAUUUGUCCAUGCUGUUUUCAAAUUAAGCACAGUUAAAUAUUCAGAUCCUUUUUUUGCCUGUUGCAAGUAGGAGUAAACUGUAUUUUUACCACUUCACUGUCAGGCUCUGAUUUUAUUUAACAUCAGUGGGAAAUAUGGAGUGGGAAACAGGAAGUUUUGGUGACAUACUGUCAGGUGAACCUUUGUGAUGCUGGUCAAAGCCCCUCAUUGAGCUGGUUAUGGCAACAAUGGCUGAGACAAGAGGCUCCUGGGGGAUCUAAGAUGCUUCACAACAGGUACCUGAUAAAUCUAUAUACCCUAGUGAUUUAGCUCUUCUAGUUUUAUU